rnacentral:rRNA from 1 species
AUUGAACGCUGGCGGCAUGCUUUACACAUGCAAGUCGAACGGCAGCGCGGGCUUCGGCCUGGCGGCGAGUGGCGAACGGGUGAGUAAUGCAUCGGAACGUGCCCAGUCGUGGGGGAUAGCCCGGCGAAAGCCGGAUUAAUACCGCAUACGACCUGAGGGUGAACGCGGGGGACCGAAAGGCCUCGCGCUAUUGGAGCGGCCGAUGUCGGAUUAGCUAGUUGGUGGGGUAAAGGCUUACCAAGGCGACGAUCCGUAGCUGGUCUGAGAGGACGACCAGCCACACUGGGACUGAGACACGGCCCAGACUCCUACGGGAGGCAGCAGUGGGGAAUUUUGGACAAUGGGGGCAACCCUGAUCCAGCCAUGCCGCGUGCGGGAAGAAGGCCUUCGGGUUGUAAACCGCUUUUGUUCGGGAAGAAAUCCUCUGGGCUAAUACCCCGGGGGGAUGACGGUACCGGAAGAAUAAGCACCGGCUAACUACGUG